rnacentral:rRNA from 1 species
GUGCAGCAGUCGAGAAACCUCCGCAAUACACGAAAGUGUGACGGGGCCAUCCCGAGUGCCGUCCGCUGAGGACGGCUUUUCCCCAGUGUACAUAGCUGGGGGAAUAAGGAGAGGGCAAGCCUGGUGUCAGCCGCCGCGGUAAUACCAGCUCUCCGAGUGGUGGGGACGCUUAUUGGGCCUAAAGCAUCCGUAGCCGGCUGGGCAAGUCCUCCGUUAAAUCCAACGAUUCAAUCGUUGGGCUGCGGGGGAUACUGGUCCAGCUUGGGGGCGGGAGAGGCCGACGGUAUUCCCGAGGUAGGGGUGAAAUCCUAUAAUCCCGGGAGGACCACCAGUGGCGAAGACUGUCGGCUAGAACGCGCCCGACGGUGAGGGAUGAAAGCUGGGGGAGCGAACCGGAUUAGAUA